rnacentral:rRNA from 1 species
CCUACGGGAGGCAGCAGUGGGGAAUAUUGGACAAUGGGCGCAAGCCUGAUCCAGCAAUGCCACGUGAGUGAUGAAGGCCUUAGGGUCGUAAAGCUCUUUUACCAGGGAUGAUAAUGACAGUACCUGGAGAAUAAGCUCCGGCUAACUCCGUGCCAGCAGCCGCGGUAAUACGGAGGGAGCUAGCGUUGUUCGGAAUUACUGGGCGUAAAGCGUACGUAGGCGGUUAUUCAAGUCAGAGGUGAAAGCCCGGGGCUCAACCCCGGAACGGCCUUUGAAACUAGGUAGCUAGAAUCUUGGAGAGGUCAGUGGAAUUCCGAGUGUAGAGGUGAAAUUCGUAGAUAUUCGGAAGAACACCAGUGGCGAAGGCGACUGACUGGACAAGUAUUGACGCUGAGGUACGAAAGCGUGGGGAGCAAACAGGAUUAGAUACCCUGGUAGUCCACGCCGUAAACGAUGAUAACUAGCUGUCCGGGCACUUGGUGCCUGGGUGGCGCAGCUAACGCAUUAAGUUAUCCGCCUGGGGAGUACGGUCGCAAGNUUAAAACUUAAAGGAAUUGACGG